rnacentral:rRNA from 1 species
ACUAUCACUUAGCGGCGGACGGGUGAGUAAUGCUUAGGAAUCUGCCUAUUAGUGGGGGACAACAUCUCGAAAGGGAUGCUAAUACCGCAUACGUCCUACGGGAGAAAGCAGGGGAUCACUUGUGACCUUGCGCUAAUAGACGAGCCUAAGUCGGAUUAGCUAGUUGGUGGGGUAAAGGCCUACCAAGGCGACGAUCUGUAGCGGGUCUGAGAGGAUGAUCCGCCACACUGGGACUGAGACACGGCCCAGACUCCUACGGGAGGCAGCAGUGGGGAAUAUUGGACAAUGGGGGGAACCCUGAUCCAGCCAUGCCGCGUGUGUGAAGAAGGCCUUAUGGUUGUAAAGCACUUUAAGCGAGGAGGAGGCUCUUUUGGUUAAUACCCAAGAUGAGUGGACGUUACUCGCAGAAUAAGCACCGGCUAACUCUGUGCCAGCAGCCGCGGUAAUACAGAGGGUGCAAGCGUUAAUCGGAUUUACUGGGCGUAAAGCGCGCGUAGGCGGCCAAUUAAGUCAAAUGUGAAAUCCCCGAGCUUAACUUGGGAAUUGCAUUCGAUACUGGUUGGCUAGAGUGUGGGAGAGGAUGGUAGAAUUCCAGGUGUAGCGGUGAAAUGCGUAGAGAUCUGGAGGAAUACCGAUGGCGAAGGCAGCCAUCUGGCCUAACACUGACGCUGAGGUGCGAAAGCAUGGGGAGCAAACAGGAUUAGAUACCCUGGUAGUCCAUGCCGUAAACGAUGUCUACUAGCCGUUGGGGCCUUUGAGGCUUUAGUGGCGCAGCUAACGCGAU